rnacentral:rRNA from 1 species
GGUAAUACGGAGGGUGCAAGCGUUACUCGGAAUCACUGGGCGUAAAGGACGCGUAGGCGGAUUAUCAAGUCUCUUGUGAAAUCUAACGGCUCAACCGUUAAACUGCUUGGGAAACUGAUAAUCUAGAGUAAGGGAGAGGCAGAUGGAAUUCUUGGUGUAGGGGUAAAAUCCGUAGAUAUCAAGAAGAAUACCUAUUGCGAAGGCGAUCUGCUGGAACUUAACUGACGCUAAUGCGUGAAAGCGUGGGGAGCAAACAGGAUUAGAUACCCUGGUAGUCCACGCCCUAAACGAUGUAUACCGGUUGUUGCUGUGCUAGUCACGGCAGUAAUCCACCUAACGGAUUAAGUAUACCGCCUGGGGAGUACGGUCGCAAGAUUAAAACUCAAAGGAAUAGACGGGGACCCGCACAAGCGGUGGAGCAUGUGGUUUAAUUCGAAGAUACGCGAAGAACCUUACCCGGACUUGAUAUCUAACAAAUCAUCCAGAGAUGGAAGAGUGUCUGCUUGCAGAAAUGUUAAGACAGGUGCUGCACGGCUGUCGUCAGCUCGUGUCGUGAGAUGUUGGGUUAAGUCCCGCAACGAGCGCAACCCACGUCAUUAGUUGCUAACGGUUCGGCCGAGCACUCUAAUGAGACUGCCUUCGUAAGGAGGAGGAAGGUGUGGACGACGUCAAGUCAUCAUGGCCCCUUAUGUCCGGGGCGACACACGUG